AACGCAACUUGCGCUUGCUUCUGGCAAGCAUGCCUGUUUGAGAAUCUAUAGCACACUUUAGCCGACAGGCUGAGAGAUGGGCGCUGUUUGCAGAAACUCGCCUGAAAAAGAUGGAUUGGUGAGGCUGGUACAAGCAGCCGUCUGACCAGAGAGAUGAAGGGCGUGCCCACUUCCUCUGGCGCAGGCGGGUGUUCGGCUGUAGCCAACGGACGCAGCUUGCUGCACUUUUGAACUUGGUCUCAAAUCAGGUAGGAGGACCCGCUGAACUUAA
rnacentral:misc_RNA from 1 species